rnacentral:rRNA from 1 species
AUGCAGUCGAACGGUGAUAUUUAUAUCAUAGUGGCGCACGGGUGCGUAACACGUAUGCAACCUACCUAUUAUUGGGGGAUAGCCUUUGGAAACGGAGAUUAAUACCGCAUAAUACGAUUAACUGGCAUCGGUUGAUUGUUAAAGCAUUUGCGAUAAUAGAUGGGCAUGCGUCCAACUAGUUAGUUGGUGUGGUAAUGGCUCACCAAGACGAUGAUUGGUAGGGGAUCUGAGAGGAUAAUCCCCCACACUGGCACUGAGAUACGGGCCAGACUCCUACGGGAGGCAGCAGUAGGGAAUAUUGGGCAAUGGGCGAAAGCCUGACCCAGCCAUGCCGCGUGCAGGAAGACGGCGUUAUGCGUUGUAAACUGCUUUUUUAUAGGAAGAAGGAUCCCUUGCGAGGGAAGGUGACGGUACUAUAAGAAUAAGCACCGGCUAACUCCGUGCCAGCAGCCGCGGUAAUACGGAGGGUGCAAGCGUUGUCCGGAUUUAUUGGGUUUAAAGGGUGCGUAGGCGGUUUAUUAAGUCAGUGGUGAAAGACGGUCGCUCAACGAUUGCAGUGCCAUUGAUACUGGUAGACUUGAGUGAGAUUGAGGUAGCUGGAAUGGAUAGUGUAGCGGUGAAAUGCAUAGAUAUUAUCCAGAACACCGAUUGCGAAGGCAGGUUACUAAGUCUUAACUGACGCUGAG